GACAGAGGGGGCAAGCGUUGUUCGGAAUUAUUGGGCGUAAAGCGCGUGUAGGCGGUCUGAUUAGUCUGAUGUGAAAGCCCUGGGCUCAACCCAGGAAGUGCAUUGGAUACUGUCAGACUUGAAUACGGGAGAGGGUAGUGGAAUUCCUAGUGUAGGAGUGAAAUCCGUAGAUAUUAGGAGGAACACCGGUGGCGAAGGCGGCUGCCUGGACCGAUACUGACGCUGAGGCGCGAAAGCGUGGGGAGCAAACAGG
rnacentral:rRNA from 1 species